ACUUAAUCUGAUAAAGACAGUUGAGAAAAGGCCACGAGAAAUGAUGUUGAGGCGUGAGUUUGCAAAUGCAGUUGGGUACCUAAAUCAGAUACUUUCUGAAGAGAAUCACCUAAAAUUCAUACAUUGGGAUUUUCACAAGUUCGCAAAAAGCAAGUCUGCAAAUGUAUUAGCCGUUUUGGGUGGUGUGGCGAGUGAAGCUCUUGAUUUAACUGGGUUUUACUACGGCGGAAAGCCAGUGGUUGUUAAGAGGCGGACUACACAACUCAGCCGUACAAGUACAGCGAGGGAUUCUUCUCUUAGAGAUUUGAGGGCAAAUUCAGGAGAGCUCUCAAGAAUCGGAAGCAACAAUGAAAUCCUGAAUUCGCUGAUCAAACAAGAAAGAGAAGCUGAUAAUAGUCAACAAAUUGGCAAAGAUAAUGAUGAUAAUGCAGCACCGAAGUUCCAAAGUGGAGUGCUGCGGACCAACUGCAUUGAUUGCUUGGACCGAACAAAUGUCGCCCAAUAUGCUUAUGGUCUUGAAGCUUUAGGUCGCCAACUCCAUGCUAUGGGCUUGACUGAUAGACCUAAAGUGGACGCUGACAGUAGUAUUGCUGCUGCUCUCAUGGAUAUGUACCAGGGUAUGGGCGAUGCUCUUGCUCAACAAUAUGGUGGCUCUG
rnacentral:misc_RNA from 1 species